ensembl:lncRNA
AUGCGCUUCCUCGAUGUACACCAGCAGCGAGUCCGCGAUGUCCGCGUACUGCCGCGCGACGCGCUGGAACGCCGCGAGGCGCGUCAUGAACGGCGGUCAGGAGCAGCUCCCAAAGUUCAGGAUGAGGGGUCUCCUCCCGCGGGCGUAGUCCAGGAUCCGCUGCGCGCCUCUCCGCGACGCGCUGUCCAGGGGAACCACCUCGGUGUUGGGCGCCGCGCCGCCCAGACGCGCCGUCUUGAAGAAGUCCAGCUUGUGGCCGUACCACACGGCGCGCAGCGACUCGAGCGUGAACAUCUUGUUGGAGUCGGACACGCAGAGCGGCGGGUCGUCGGGGCUGCCCAAGUCGCUCUCCCGCAUCUUCGUGAGCACCUUCCUCCGGAUGCACAGGAAAUCCAGGAACCACAGCAUCACGGCCGCGAACAGGAAGCGCGGCAGCAGCAUCAGGCACACGGCGGCGUUUUUCAGCGCCUUCACCGUUUGGACACCUGCGGAUCCAUGCAGCAUCUCCAUCCCCAUCCGGACAGGGCUGUCCUCAGUGUGUGGCCCCUCAUCUCAUCUCAGACGAGUCGAUCGAACCGUCAGCGCGUCACACAGCCACAGACAGCUCUGUUGUUUGUUGUGCAGCAGGACUGGAGUGAACACACAGGUAUGAUGUUAACGAGUAACUGA